rnacentral:lncRNA from 1 species
AUAUAUAUAUAUAUAUAUAUAUAUGUAAGAAUCAAGAACGAUCUUAUAUAGUAGCACGAUCUUUUGGCUAAAACUAGUAUCACGUUAAUCCGUAAAUUAAAUAGACUAACCUUGAUUAAAAAAGAUAAAACAUGAUUAAGGGAUUAUUGGGUCUACACUAAUCUUUACACAACACAAAGUUGAAAAGUAUAAAUAAGAGGAGACCCCAUAAUAAAAGGCAAUGACUGUUUCAAUUUUGAGCUAGAUAAUCAGAUAUACAAUUUAGUUGACUUGAACGUCAUAAUAUCUUUGCAAGUACCCUAAUCUCAUAGACAUACUCGAAAGAACAAUGGAAGAAUUGAAGAGAGAGAAGAUGAAAUACACUUUAUAGAGAAUAUUUGGUCUCAAAUAAAUGGUAAGAACAAUUAUUAUUAUUAUUAUUCUAUUAUUAUUUAUCUCAGAACAAUUAUUAUUAUUAUUUAUCUUAGAACUGUUAUUAUUAUUAUUAUUUAUAUCAGUUUGAGGUUAUUUAUACAAUUCAAAUGUUUUCAUCUAAAAGGCUAAUUAAUGUAUGAGUAUAUGUUGUUGGUAUUUUUUGUUUCUGUAAUUAAUUUUAUUGUACUACUAAUUUCAUCUUUAAAUUCUAGUGUAAAUGUGUGUGUGAUUUUUAUAAAACUCUGUUUAUUUUUUUAUGCUUGUGUAAUUUAUUUCUUUAGCAAAAUCUUUCUAAGGUUCUUGCAGAUUAUUACAUGGCCUUUAUUUUUUAUGCAAUAUGUAACCAAAUUGUUUUUUGCAUUACCAUUCUUUCAAAAUUGCAGUUUCAGGUUUGUUUUAGCAAUAACAUAUUUCAACAAGACCCAAAAUCUUUUGAUUUUGAAACUCUUCGAAACCAAAUAGUGAGGAGCCAAUAACAGAGUUGGGAGCUGUUUCUUCCUGCAAUAAGCAUUAAACUGUCACUUAUUAUCAAUUUUACUCUUUCAAUUUAACUUUACAAACAUGCAGAUUCUUUUCAGAAUGGUGAACUUAAAGAAAUUAAAAUAGAUUAUAUUAGAGUAAAUUACAUUCUCAAAAGAAUAAUUAUAUCUAUAAAUUGAAAUUGGAAGGGUAAGAUUGAAAUUGAGUGACUGGUUAAUGCUCAGUGCAGGGUAGUAACAACAGCCAACACUGUUAUUGUCUCUUCAUUAUUUUGGUUCGAAAAGUUUCAAACUUUAAAAAAUUCUGUCUUAUUGUUGUUGUUUCUGCUAAAGAAAAACCAAAGAUUGAAAUUUUGAAAGGAAUAAUCAUGCAAAAAAAAAUAAUUGGUUACAUAUUGUACAAAUGUCAUAUAUAUUAUAGCGAUUAAGAUAUAAUGAGUUGAUAAUAAGUAUAGAAUAAAAAUGCAUGUAAGAUUAUAAGUGAGAUGCAUAGAAAUCAUAGUAAUAAUAUUUUUUACGUAGGAAAAAGGUUGUUAUGACUGAAGUGAAGUGUGGUGUUUGACUCAAUUAAAAGUUGAUUCAUUUAAAAAUUUGAUUGUGGAUUAAAUAUAAAUAAAAAAGUUGAGAAUUUUUCAUAUCCCAAAUGCUGCUAAUGUACUAUUUGUGUGUCUUAAAUGUAUGUAACAUAUCUUAUGUUUCAUUGGUAUAUUUGUUGAUCCUCUUAGUUAGGUUUAAGAUUUGUUUUUCUUAAUAUGGUCUGAAUAUACACAGUAGAAAGGUAUGUGGUGUUUUAUGUUGCAGGCUUUCUUUCUAAAGGUUUAUGCUUGCAUUUGAGGUAUUUUUGUUCAGAGAUUUAUCUGUGCUUUUAUGGAGCAAGAGACCUCAUCUUUGUGUCCUUGGUGCUAUUCUGGGAAUAUCUUUAUCAUGUAAGCUUUCACUGUAAAGAGCACUGACCUCGUAUCUCAAGUUUUAGGUGUGUCACUCUUUUGUUGAAUGGAGUAUGUUUACAAAGGAAGGUUUUAUCAAUAGUUCUGGGACUAUCUCUGUGAUGGGAAGCAUUUUAUCAUAAAAGGGUUGACUUCAUAUUCAGCUUUGCUAGGUGUUGUCGAAGGUUACUUGGGGCUACCCCCAAAAAUCAGGCAGUCCAUUUAGGAUGGUCCAGUGCAUCUUCUUCGCUGCUGGUGGCUACUUAAUGCUAUUUUUUAUUUGCCUUCUGGUCUUUGGGGAGGGUGUAACAUAAAUCUUUGUAGUAGGUCUUGGUUCUGAGUGUUGUUGUAAGAUUCUUUGGAGGUUAUUUUGUAACAUUCCAGAAAUACAUCUAACUAUUGUCAUACAAAUCCUACAUACUAAUUUAUAAGUUUAGAGUUUUUCAAAACAUUC